UGUCUCUGAUGAUGCUCAGCACUGGGCUCAGACACUUGGUGGUGAUGCACGUGCAGCUCCGCUCCUGACAUGGUGGAGUCUGAAGAGACU